rnacentral:rRNA from 1 species
GCACUCCGCCUGGGGAGUACGGUCGCAAGACUGAAACUCAAAGGAAUUGACGGGGGCCCGCACAAGCGGUGGAGCAUGUGGUUUAAUUCGAAGCAACGCGAAGAACCUUACCAGGUCUUGACAUCCCGUUGACCACUGUAGAGAUAUAGUUUCCCCUUCGGGGGCAACGGUGACAGGUGGUGCAUGGUCGUCGUCAGCUCGUGUCGUGAGAUGUUGGGUUAAGUCCCGCAACGAGCGCAACCCUUGAUCUUAGUUGCCAUCAUUUAGUUGGGCACUCUAAGGUGACUGCCGGUGACAAACCGGAGGAAGGUGGGGAUGACGUCAAAUCAUCAUGCCCCUUAUGACCUGGGCUACACACGUGCUACAAUGGACGAUACAAACGGUUGCCAACUCGCGAGAGGGAGCUAAUCCGAUAAAGUCGUUCUCAGUUCGGAUUGUAGGCUGCAACUCCGCCUACAUGAAGCCCGGAAUCGCU